rnacentral:rRNA from 1 species
AGAGUUUGAUCCUGGCUCAGAUUGAACGCUGGCGGCAGGCCUAACACAUGCAAGUCGAGCGGUAGCACAGAGAGCUUGCUCUCGGGUGACGAGCGGCGGACGGGUGAGUAAUGUCUGGGAAACUGCCUGAUGGAGGGGGAUAACUACUGGAAACGGUAGCUAAUACCGCAUAAUGUCGCAAGACCAAAGUGGGGGACCUUCGGGCCUCAUGCCAUCAGAUGUGCCCAGAUGGGAUUAGCUAGUAGGUGGGGUAACGGCUCACCUAGGCGACGAUCCCUAGCUGGUCUGAGAGGAUGACCUGCCACACUGGAACUGAGACACGGUCCAGACUCCUACGGGAGGCAGCAGUGGGGAAUAUUGCACAAUAGGCGCAAGCCUGAUGCAGCCAUGCCGCGUGUGUGAAGAAGGCCUUCGGGUUGUAAAGCACUUUCAGCGGGGAGGAAGGCGUUAAGGUUAAUAACCUUGGCGAUUGACGUUACCCGCAGAAGAAGCACCGGCUAACUCCGUGCCAGCAGCCGCGGUAAUACGGAGGGUGCAAGCGUUAAUCGGAAUUACUGGGCGUAAAGCGCACGCAGGCGGUCUGUCAAGUCGGAUGUGAAAUCCCCGGGCUCAACCUGGGAACUGCAUUCGAAACUGGCAGGCUAGAGUCUUGUAGAGGGGGGUAGAAUUCCAGGUGUAGCGGUGAAAUGCGUAGAGAUCUGGAGGAAUACCGGUGGCGAAGGCGGCCCCCUGGACAAAGACUGACGCUCAGGUGCGAAAGCGUGGGGAGCAAACAGGAUUAGAUACCCUGGUAGUCCACGCCGUAAACGAUGUCGAUUUGGAGGUUGUGCCCUUGAGGCGUGGCUUCCGGAGCUAACGCGUUAAAUCGACCGCCUGGGGAGUACGGCCGCAAGGUUAAAACUCAAAUGAAUUGACGGGGGCCCGCACAAGCGGUGGAGCAUGUGGUUUAAUUCGAUGCAACGCGAAGAACCUUACCUGGUCUUGACAUCCACAGAACUUUCCAGAGAUGGAUUGGUGCCUUCGGGAACUGUGAGACAGGUGCUGUAUGGCUGUCGUCAGCUCGUGUUGUGAAAUGUUGGGUUAAGUCCCGCAACGAGCGCAACCCUUAUCCUUUGUUGCCAGCGGUUCGGCCGGGAACUCAAAGGAGACUGCCAGUGAUAAACUGGAGGAAGGUGGGGAUGACGUCAAGUCAUCAUGGCCCUUACGACCAGGGCUACACACGUGCUACAAUGGCAUAUACAAAGAGAAGCGACCUCGCGAGAGCAAGCGGACCUCAUAAAGUAUGUCGUAGUCCGGAUUGGAGUCUGCAACUCGACUCCAUGAAGUCGGAAUCGCUAGUAAUCGUAGAUCAGAAUGCUACGGUGAAUACGUUCCCGGGCCUUGUACACACCGCCCGUCACACCAUGGGAGUGGGUUGCA